GAUGAACGCUGGCGGCGUGCUUAACACAUGCAAGUCGAACGGACUUUUAAUGAAACCUAGUGAUUUAAAAGUUAGUGGCGGACGGGUGAGUAACGCGUGGGUAACCUGCCAUAUACAGGGGGAUAACACUUAGAAAUAGGUGCUAAUACCGCAUAAGCGCACAGGAUCGCAUGAUCCGGUGUGAAAAACUCCGGUGGUAUAUGAUGGACCCGCGUCUGAUUAGCUAGUUGGUGAGGUAACGGCCCACCAAGGCGACGAUCAGUAGCCGGCCUGAGAGGGUGAACGGCCACAUUGGGACUGAGACACGGCCCAAACUCCUACGGGAGGCAGCAGUGGGGAAUAUUGCACAAUGGGGGAAACCCUGAUGCAGCGACGCCGCGUGAGUGAAGAAGUAUUUCGGUAUGUAAAGCUCUAUCAGCAGGGAAGAAAAUGACGGUACCUGACUAAGAAGCCCCGGCUAACUACGUG
rnacentral:rRNA from 1 species